UACGUAGGGUGCAAGCGUUAAUCGGAAUUACUGGGCGUAAAGCGUGCGUAGGUGGUUCGUUAAGUCUGAUGUGAAAGCCCUGGGCUCAACCUGGGAAUGGCAUUGGAUACUGGCGACCUAGAGUGCGGUAGAGGGGUGUGGAAUUCCCGGUGUAGCAGUGAAAUGCGCAGAUAUCAGGAAGAACACCCGUGGCUAAGGCGGCUCUCUAGUACGGUACUGACGCUGAGACGCGAAAGCGUGGGGAGCAAACAGG
rnacentral:rRNA from 1 species